AGUCAGCAUGUCAAAAAUCGUAUUAGACUAUUACUAAACAAAUAAUUUAAAAAAUAUAAUAGUGGUAAAUUUCACACAAUUAUAUGUAGUCAUCUGCUCUUACUAUCUACUAAAAUAAAUCCACUUCAGCCCUAAGUUUAGAAUGCCUAGGUUUUAUGCCUUUUUUUUCCUUGGUAGGAACAAGGUACAGGGAAAUAAAGUUUUAGCUCUUCAUUAAAGAGAAUCAUCUCCAGUCACUGAUAAAGGUUUCUUCAAGUGUGUUAUUGUUCUGGUGUAUGAAAUUUGACUCAGGCUUCAAGAAAACAACAAUCCAGAGAAUUCCAGGUUCUGAGACAUUUCACCUAUGUGCAUCAGGGAAGUUUUGGCUAAACAGGAUGAGAGUGUGAGCUGAACCUGUAUGGACACAGUGGUUUUGCCUAAGGCUGCUAAAACCUAGAAGCCCACAUUACCUCCAUUUACCUUCUGGAGUGUUCCAUCAGCACAACUUUAAGAGUGAGUCACCUUCCACACAAGUUUUAGCCCUUACAGAUGUUAUCAACUCCUGUCCUAACAGUCUCUUUUAUCUUUCCUCUCUCCUUUAGAAACAUCCCUUUGUUAUACGUUUGGAGCACUCUCAGGUAUUAGUGGCUGCACAUUAAAAUUUUGAGUUAUACAUAACCUACAUGAAGGUGCAUCAGGUCACAGAACAUGCCUGUCACUGUUUUGACUACCAUGCAUAUUCCUUUAGGUCCUACACCACAAUAAAGGGCUCUAUUGUUACUCAAAACUCAACAGCAUGUAGAAUGUUCAGUGUAAACCAGAAAAACAUAAACUAGCAGUUUUCAAGUAAGAUGUAGAUGUCUAAAUAAAAUAAAUAAAUAAAUAAAUAAAUCUGGCACAUUUCUGCCUAGCCUUUAGGCACGUUUUUUUUCAAACAGAAAAGCUUUUCAGGGACAAGCCUGGCUUGUGAUUAGGGUCCUCUCAUACAGGAUGUAAAAGAUUUAAAUAAAAAAGACAAAUUGCCAUCACAUAGCAGUGAACACCAGCACCACUGACAGUUUAAGAACAGAUUCCUGUUCAGGGCUCAAAUCCAGAACGAUAGUAGACACUUUUCAGAUUUAACUUAAAAGCAGAGCAGAAGCCCAGAAACUGCCUCUAUUACCUGAAUCUUUUUCAACAUCUACAGAAAGCGCCCAGGAAGACCAGUCUCUGCACUUGAGUGUGCAAAGGUGAGGUCACAUACGAAGCUCAGAUUCCUACUGACCAAGUUCAAAAGAUAGAAUAUCUCCAUUACCCUGCCUGGUUGGACAGCAAAUUAAUUACACUACAAGCAAACAAGGCAAAAGAGAGCAUUUGUCCCUUACUAAAAAUUAUUCAGAAGACAGGUCACUCAAAGAGUUCAUAGCUAAUACAUGUUUUAUUUCUUGCAGUUAAAUUGUAAAACUUGGUACUACAUGAAACACUUAAUUAAAAAAACUGUCCAAGUGAAUUAAUAGCUGCCAGUUCAUUAGCAGUUUGGCAUGCAUGAAUGCAUUUCUUUUGUUAUAACUGAAAACCACAGAGUAACCUUACUUCUGGUGCUAGAGAGACAGUGUGUGCAGUGGUAGAAACAAACAUGCAUUCACAGUGUGAGCAAGUGCUGCAUGUUCAUUUGGGUUUGGCAUUUUAACAGACACCCAGAGGAAGUGGUGAUGGGGGGGAAAAAAACCAGUGUAUCCCCAUGGUAACCAGGACAUCUUGUUUUAUAAUGUUAAACAUGUUUAGCAUGUUUAACAUUAAACACACCAGACAGAAAAAAAUUAGUCACCUAGGAAAAUAUUCAUUUCUGAGCAAAACUAUUCAUGAACAAUGAACAUGAAAAGCUCUUGGCAGUGUCCUGUGAGAUAUGAAACAAAAGUUGCUAUUUUUCAUUUUUGGCAGCUGACAAUUUAUUCUAAGCUUUUUCCUACGCCUAUGAAUCAAAAGCCUCCUCUCUUCUGCCCUUUUUAUUCUUCUCAACAAAGUACUUUUAGAUUUACUUUCUCGUGUGCUAAGUUUUUCCAAAAACAGAUCUUAGUAAAAUUUUUACUGUAUAAUAAAUUAUUUGUGAGUUCCAAGUGAGAACGAAGAAACCUAUCUGGAAUUGAAAACUUCUCAACUUGAUUAGUAUUAUGAAAAUAUUUUGUGGAUGAUGACUGCUUUAUUUUUGUACCUCCCAUGCUCCCAAUGACUAGGAAGAAAAGUGUUUUGAGAUUCACUAGCAUUGCAUAAAGGAAUACCAAAACUGCAUAAAGAAUCAGUGUAUUCCUAUUAUGCCAGCUGUACUUUUUUACUGAUGGUUCAUUUUAUACUUGUAUAUAAAUCAGCAAGUCAAGUGUCAGCUAUAUUUUUACAUGUCCAUUCAAAAAUCAGAACUUGAAGUUUUAGUUAAUCAACUCAGUCUUGAACAACUCAGAAUAGAAAAUUAAUUUACUUGCUUACUCAUCUUAUAAACAUCCUGUUUGUAACCAAGUUCCUAUUGCAUCUUUUAAAGCCCACACACACCCAUGUAUAUAACCUAUGUGGAAAUUUGCCAUCAAGUAACUUUGCAUGUUGUACCACUAUCAGUCCAGGUGCAGAAAUUCUACUUGACAUGUACCUGACAUGCAGACAUACCUACAUGACACUUCAGUGACAUGUUUCUCACAAAUUGACCUUCUUUUUCUAGCUGCAUGUCUGAACUGACACACAUUUAGAAGAGAGGAAAGUUUUGAGGUAGAAUAAAUAAUUCCAGCUUUCUGUGAAAACUGUGACUGUAAGCAAACGUAUAACAUUAGAUGCAUAAAAAGCAUAUUUUAUCUUACUGUGCAGCAGUGUUCACUGGUUUCUAUGGAGAAGCAGACUUGGCACCUUGUUGAAUGGCUGAAAGCUAGCCUGAAGUUUAACCUAAGACAAGUCAUGUAUUUUAAACAGAUAUAUAUAUAUCUAAAAUAUAUACAAUAGAACAUAUUCAAGAAAACAAUCUACCCUUUUCAUUGUUAGUGAGAAUAGCACUUCUAAAAUUUUACUGAACAAGGCUAUUUUCUAAUCUCCUAAGAUUCUGAAGGCUAAUAUAAACCAAGUUUGUUUGUAACUGUAUUAAUUUCUGUGAAUUAACAUUGGAAGUAAUUCCUCUUUCUUUGUGACACUUCAGAAACCCAGAAGUCUUAUUUUGCUUCCUGCUAUUGACUGUCAGCUCUGGAUGGCUUAAGUAUAGAGGGAAGCCAGAAAAGCCAUCUGUUAGGAAGAAUGAGAAAGCCUAGUUGUUUUACUCAUUUCCUGGGCUGAAAGGUUUUUAGUGAGAAAACUGCUUAGACUGCAGUAAGCCAGAUGUAUAUAGGGAAUUCAAAAGGAAUAAAUGAAAUAGAAUUUUCGUAAUUCAGUAUAAAAUAGUUUUAUGGCAAAUGUGAAGAAAGCACUUGGUCCCUUUAAGCAGAUAAUAUCUAAGUUUUUCAGUAAAAUUUACAAAUCCCAGGUUUGCUUUUCCAAAUGAACUUAUAUUAUGAAUAACAGGAUACUAAAAAAAAAAUAAGUCAAAUGUUAGCAGUAGCACUGCAAAUCAAUGUCUUCUGCUUUUAGGAGAAGUAGGAUAUAUAGUGCUAUAAAAAUCCAGUCACUAUGUAAGUUCUGAAUCUGAGAAGAAGAAUUUUUAAAUAAUGCAUUAGCAUAGCACAAAAAAUUAUAAUAGAUUUCAUAUGAAAAAAUUCAGGACUACUGAACAAUGGGCAUAUUGAACUUUUGCUUCACAAAUGAAAACUUCUUCAUCCACAUUAUGAUAGAGCCAAACAUAUUUCUCACACUUUAUGUUUUUUUGUCUUUUCAGGCCAUUACUGAUGGGAAGGCUGACACCCAUUACAGCAGUAAAUUGAGUGUCAUUUGUCUAUUUAACAAAACAACCUUUAUCAAAUGCAGCUACUUGAGGUCACUAUUUCAGCAUAAACACCAAAAUAAUUAUUGUAGUGCCUCUAGCCAUAGUUCAAUUAAGAUACUGAAGAAGUAGAUUAUGUGCAUUUUUAUAUACAUAUAUUAAAAUACAUGUGUAUGUAUAUAAAAAUGUAUGUGUAAGUCUAAUAUAAUUAUCUUAAUAUACAUAAAUAUAUAUGUAUCCAUAUACACAGGACCAACUUGGAUGAUACUUGCCAAAACAGCUUUCUGGACUACUCAGUUUAAAUCAUUGAGUAGCCAGACUAUUUAGCUCUCACCUAUGAAACAGAUUACAAAACUGCCUUAUUUUACUACUUCAGCCUUAUUUUACUAAUUCAGUUGCUCUUCUGCUACUCUUUUUCCCUCUAAUUAUACUGUUCAGCUACAUGACACAGUAUCUAAAGCAGUCUCCUCAAUGCUAGCUGUUCAGAUUAACAAUUGGUUAGAUUGCUUUCAAAAAACCUUCAGAAAUUCAGAGAAAUCAAGUUUUGAGCUGCUACAUCUGACACCCACCAUACAGUUUUCCCCAGAAGAGGGGAUUAAAGUUACCAGACUGAACUGCAGGCUUCUAACAGCUCGUAUCUAGAUUUCCAGGCCUACAAGCACUCCACUGGAUUUUUCCCUUCUUGAAGUGACAGUUUCUCUGGCAUCCAAACACAUUGCUGUGUUUCCUCAACUGGAAACAAAUGAACAAAGAAUCCAAAUAGUCUGGUGAAAGGCUUAUGGAAAAAAAUAAUUUCCACAGGCCCUUCCUGAGAUGCAUUCCAUCUUUGCUACGCAUCAUGACAGCUUUUCCAAGUAAAGGCCUCUCCUUUACCUAUUCUCUGAAUUAUUGCCUUCCCUCCAGCAUACACAAGCCAUCCAUCUGGAGUUCUCCCACACUGCCUUCCUUUAAAGGACUACUUCCAUUUCUGUGACAUAAUAUCCCUCGUAGAGCUCUCAAAGGGCUAAAAUCAAGACAGUCAUCCCUUUGGAACUAUCUUAAAACACAUCUAUUUAUCUCUGCAAACUCAGGAGUUUGGUUUUUCCUACGUAUGACCAAGAGUUCCAGUGUGAAGAUGCCUUUUUCCACAAUGACAAUUCACAAACUCUGCUGGUGUAAAGUGUCUCCUUACUGAUCUGUGUGCAUCCCAGAUUGUGUUUAACUAUGGAUUCCCAGACACCCAGUAGAAAAGACUGACUAGAAGACUUCUAGCUUUCUUAAAUAAGCUUCCUAAACCCAGCACGUCUCCACUGCUAAAGCUGAGGCAAAUAUCUUUGCUUAUCUCAGGAAAAAACCGCUCAGUAUUAAUCCAGCAACUAUUUACACAUUGGAAGGCUUGCAUUUUCAGCAUUCUUUUAAGGGAGAAACUUAAAACUUGACUUCUUUUUCAACACUAAGUCUUGUUGCUUUUCCCUAAAAUAACCUCAACUAUGUAUUUAUCAUCAUAUAGUAUUCAAAAUUGGGAACAGUACAGACAAAAUCUCACAACAAGCACAGCACCAAGUAGAGCAGAAUAAUUACCUCCUGUGCCUCACAUCUGAUGCUUUUGUUACUAUUACCCAGAACAGGUUUUGUUUUGGUAUCACUGGGUUUUAACUCUUAGUCUGAUCUGCUGUAAUACUCAGAAUAUUCAGCACGGAACUGCUUCACAUUCCCUGACAAGCUGAUGCACCUAGCACUCAAUCCAUCGUUCCCUUGCAAAUUUUACAGGGCCAGUCUGUCCUACCAUCCAGACUAUUAAUGAAAAUAUUGAAUAAAUUUGUAAACUUGAUCACUGUGCUGUGCUUUAACCAAGGAAAUAGUUCCUAAGUAUCCAAUUUAGAAUGCUGUGUAGGAAAAACUAUUCUAUUCAUUGUUCUUUAGCUUUAGUAUGUUAAAGAACCUUAAAUCAAAGAAAACUAGAAAACUUUAGCAAAAGAAAAAAAAAAAACAACUUUAAAUCAGAUAGUAGUUCACAGGCCAACAUCAGCAAGUUACUAAUGACUUGCUCAUAAGCAAGUUAAUUUUACCUUAAUCAGUAAGGCAAGUCAGUAGCAAGCAUUUGAUACAUUAGAGGCAUAAUGUGAUAUUAGCUUCAAGUUGCUUUAUCUACUAACAUAAAAUCACAAAUCACAAAUACUUAUGGUUAGAGGACAUUUUCCCUAGGGCUGUUACAGAUGGCUUUUUAACUCAAAUAGCAUGAAGUCCUACAAACCUGUAUGUUUUUAAAUUACAUACAAAAUUUUUCAGAGGAAUGUUAUAUCAGCAUUUUCUUACUUUGGAGCUAGAACUGGCAACAUCAUUGUCUAAACUUAAAAUGGUCAAAAAAUAUAAUUGUAUGGGUGUGAGAGCAGUACCACAGCAUUACUUCAGAAAUUUUUGUAUUUAUAUAAUAAAUGAGAAACAUUUAGAAAAGCUCCCCCCACCUAUUCCACAGUUAAUUUGGUUUGGUUUUUUUUUAUUGAUCCAGUCUUGAAUAAUGCUGCUUAUUUGGUAACAAUAUCAGGCAAAAACAUGAGCAAGUGUCAUUCUGCAUUCCAAUAUGAAUCAUUCAAUGAAGUUUUGCAGUAUAUACAUUUUAUCCAGCUUCUGACAUUAAAGGUCAUCAUGCCAAUGAAAAUUUUUAACAAUACAAUAAAAUCCUUCAAAUAUAAAUGCUUAUGAAUGCAAUUCAAGAGACCAAACAUUUUAAUUUUCUGAAAUUUAUAUCACUCAUGUCCAUAAUAAUUUUACAUUUCACACUUCAUGCUCUCAAAUGUUACCCUAGAGAAGACUAAAUCUUUUUGCCACAUAUACUAUUAAAGACACUAACCAGGUUUAUAGAGUUACAGAAGACUAUAGUAAGAUGUAAAAUUUAGUAGUAAUAAGUUAUGACAUUUGCUGACUAAAACAUUAUUCAGUCUACCAUAUUUUUUGAGCCACUCAAAUACAAUAAGUAUUUGGAUGUUAUAUACUACCCAUUUCUUAUACUUACAGUGCAAAAUAAGAGACAAUGUUUUUCCUGAGCAUUUAGGAAAUGAAAAUCCUUUAUCUUUGAUUACAGUCCAUUUAAAAUAUACUCCUCACAUACCUAGGCUCAUCAAGACUGUACAAUUAA